AGAGUUUGAUCCUGGCUCAGAACGAACGCUGGCGGCGUGCUUAACACAUGCAAGUCGCACGAGAAAUCCUGGGCAACUGGGAAAGUAAAGUGGCGCACGGGUGAGUAACGCGUGGGUAACCUACCCUUGAAUUGGGGAUAACUCCGCGAAAGCGGGGCUAAUACCGAAUAAUAUGCCGAUUCCCACGGGAGUUGGUAUCAAAGAUGGCCUCUGCAUGCAAGCUAUCGUUUAAGGAUGGGCCCGCGUGCCAUUAGCUUGUUGGUAGGGUAACGGCCUACCAAGGCAACGAUGGUUAGCUGGUCUGAGAGGAUGGCCAGCCACACUGGAACUGAGACACGGUCCAGACUCCUACGGGAGGCAGCAGUGGGGAAUCUCGCGCAAUGGGGGAAACCCUGACGCAGCAACGCCGCGUGGGUGAUGAAGGCCUUCGGGUCGUAAAGCCCUGUCAGGUGGGAAGAAACAUAUCGGUGCUAAUAUCACCGAUAUUUGACGGUACCACCGGAGGAAGCACCGGCUAACUCCGUGCCAGCAGCCGCGGUAAUACGGAGGGUGCUAGCGUUGUUCGGAAUUAUUGGGCGUAAAGCGCGUGUAGGCGGUCGAGUAAGUCAGAUGUGAAAGCCUUCCGCUUAACGGAAGAAGUGCAUUUGAAACUGCUCGACUGGAGUACGGGAGAGGAGAGUGGAAUUCCCGGUGUAGAGGUGAAAUUCGUAGAUAUCGGGAGGAACACCAGUGGCGAAGGCGGCUCUCUGGUCCGAUACUGACGCUGAGACGCGAAAGCGUGGGGAGCAAACAGGAUUAGAUACCCUGGUAGUCCACGCCGUAAACGAUGGGCACUAGGUGUAGGAGGUAUUGACCCCUUCUGUGCCGAAGCUAACGCAUUAAGUGCCCCGCCUGGGG
rnacentral:rRNA from 1 species